rnacentral:rRNA from 1 species
GUAAGUUUUAUGGUUAAGCUACUAAGAGCGUACGGUGGAUGCCUUGGCGCCAACAGGCGAUGAAGGACGUGGCAAGCUGCGAAAAGCUUCGGGGAGCCGCAAGCAGGCUUUGAUCCGGAGAUGUCCGAAUG